rnacentral:lncRNA from 1 species
AAUUGAUCUUACAUAUUUCGCUACUGAAAUUACAUUAAUUCAAGUAUCCAUGUUAACAUCUAUGGCUUGAAUAAUACACAAAACAGAAACUACAGAAGGGUUCCACCCGAGACAUACUCGGUGCAGGCCAACGCAACCAAACCCAACAUCGCAAAUCUACCGUUCCACAUCUCAGCAUCAGAUGUCAUUACGCCAUCUGACUUGGACUCCGCGCUGACCCCUUUGAAUAGUGGGAUCAAAGACGCGACAGAGAGAAGAAUACUUGUUCCGACGAACCACGAGACUCCACCGUUAGAUAUCUGAGAGAAAAGGUCUUGGCCCUUGGACAGUUCCACUGCCAUUGCAGCGACAAAGCCUAUCAUGGCAAGCCUGCCAUUGAUCCUCUCUGGUGCGGGUCCGCUAAAUGCGAACAAAUCAAGGAAGUUUGUGCUGACCUGUUAAUCACAGUCAUACGGGCGUUUACAUUAGAAGUGGAAGCAUAAAUGCAAUCACAAAGUCCUUGCUCUACUUAAAUUGUUAAAAUUAAACAUUUCCGAAAUAAAUCCUGUACCUUUGGCUCAGGAGUAGAACCUGACUCUGCUAUCUUCUUGAUCUGGUCACCCUGCAAAUUGAUUCAAAUGUUAACACAAUUAAUCCUAAGAACCAUCACCCAAAGUAUACACACAGGAAGUCGAAAUAGAUUCCAAACUCACCAGCUUGGCCUUGCACUGCACCCGUUUGCUAGCACUGCCACGUAGUCGUGGCACAUACGUCGCAGAAAACAAGUUGCUCACUCGAGACCGGUUUUUCACCAGGCUACUGGCUACUGGAGUUGCAAGGACGGUCUGCAUGACUGUUGAUGUGGCCAUCACUUUAGAAGAAUGUUUAUCACUCGAGCUGUGAUUAAGAAACUUAAUCAAUAUCUAAUCUGUGAAAGCUAUUCUAAUGCUAGAGGCAACGUUCGUAAGGGAUAUCACUACCAGUGAGUUGAAGCUCGAGCUGAUUGCUUUGUAAUGAUAAUUAAUGUAUCUGACAAUGGUUUGGUAUGAUGUUAUAUAGCCGAUGGGGCAUGGGAGGAGAGGGUAUUUUGCUACCACGUCAUCUAUAUCUAAUUAAAAAGCUGAUUGGAUCACGUGGGUUCGGUUGUCCUCACAUGGUCAAUUGGGUUGUGGCCUCCUCACAGUCACUAGUGGAUCCCCACCCCCUUUAAGAACCUGAGGCCAAUGUUGUUCUAGGUUUUCCAGCUGAGCAGCGACCACGGCAUAGUAAUCGAACUGGUCUCAGCCACGAUUUUACCGCAUUAAUUUUACACGUUCCAAAUAACACAGCUAAAGUAAAUCGUACUAAUGUAUAAAAUUUUUCAAUUGGCCGACAUGUUUUUUUUCUUAAAUAUCUUUUUUUAACAUGUGGUUGAUGAUGGAUUGAUGAUAGAUUGUUUACUUUCCAUGUUGCUCUCUUUCUUUUGAUCACUAAGUUAAUUAAUUUUAUUCCCUUUAUUUUCAUCUUUAUUUUUUUUAAUAUAUUAUAUUGAACAACUUUUCUUUUUAUUUUUAUCUUUAUAAUUUCUAAUAUAUAUUAGAAAACUUUUUUUUCUUCUCAUUUGCUUAUUGAUUUCUUACCAAAACAUUCAAAAAUAUCUUCCUUAUAUUUUCUAGUAUUUACUAGCAUGACUCAACAUAAUUUUGAAUACAAGCUAAAUGAUGUUUAUAAUAAUAAAUAUUGUAGCUAAAUUUUUUUUGACAAUACAUGUACUAAACUUUUCUUGAAUUUUUAUAAAUAUCUAUACUAUCUUGUCAUCUCACGUCAAGUCUAUUACCAUUAAUAAUUUUUUUUUAUAUACUAUAUAUCUUGUAAUUCAAUAUUCAAUUUAAAUCAACCAUAUAAUUAAAAUCUUGACUUUUACUUGACAUUGCAACUCACCAAAGUCCAAGUGUCAUCACCUAAAUGAAACAUUGAUAAAUCUUUUAGCCAAGCUAAGGCUAGGCAUAAUUUUAGAUUAGCCAUUAGGUCAAAUUACAUUAAAAUUGUUGAUAGAUUUAUGGUUAGUAAGUCAAUGGCUCGAUUUUAUAUCAAGCAACUGUGUUGUAUUUUAUGCAACAGUUUUUUGGUUUUAGGUCAGGUUUCUUUUUUCUACCAAGCUUGAAUUUGUAUCCAAUGAUAUGGAUGCUUUUAUUGGAUUUCUAAUUUGUUAUGGUAUGUGUCAUAAUCUAAUUUUUUACCAUUUUAUUUUAAUUAUUAUUAUUAUUUUAUUUACUGGAAAGGAUAAAAAAAUGAUGAAAAAAAUAAUAAUAAAAAUGAAAAAACAAGUAAAAUGAAAUAAAUGAAGAAUGAAUUACAAUUUGGGUUAAUGGCAACAUGAUUGGAAGUUUUGGGGUUUAAUUAAACUUUGGAAUUAAUCUAAAAUAAGCUUGGAAUUAAUUUAAUUAAUCCAAUUAAGGGUUUAAUUGGAGAAUUGAUAAAUUUUUAGACUUGAUUGAGCUUGGAAUUAAUUUAAUUCAUCCAAUUAGAGGUUUAAUUGGAAAAUUGAUAAGUUUUGGACUUAAUUGAGCUUGAGAUUAAAUUAUUCAGGGACUCAAUUGAAACAAUAUCAAAGUUUGGGGUUUAAUUGGGGUCCAAAUUGAAAAAUUAAAAUCUAAGGACCAGCUUGAAAAUGGCGCCGAAAUGCAGGGGUCUAGUUACAAUUUAACUAGGGACUUAAUUAUAAAAUUGUCAGAAAUGCAAGGUCCAAAAUGCAAAUAGCCAUUAAACACCAAAAACGGCGUCGUUUUCCCUUUUCUGUUCAUCUUCUUGCCGACUGAAACAGACGCCCACCGCCGCUCCCACCAUUUCACCUGCAAUUAACACAAUUUAUGGCUUGAAGAAACGACAUUCUUCUCUGGCUAUAAAAGCCAGAGAGAUAGUCCAUGCAUGCGAUAGAGAAAACAAAAACCCAGGGGGAAGGAACACAGAAAAACCAGAGGUUAAAAAGAGACAAAAAAAAGAGCCACGAACAGGGGGACUCACAAAACCGGGGGAGAGGGGAAGCCACGAAAAAACCACAGAAACGGGGAGGGAGAUUAUACAUAAGAGAGAGCAAAUUUUGGCCAGCCACUGCACCUUCAUCAUCGUCUUCUUCCAGACCAGUGCUAGCCGCGACUCCGGUUGCACCCCUUUCCCCCGAAGACAGACGCGAAGGAAAAGAAGAGGAUGAAGACAGAAAGAAAAACAGAGGAACCAACCAAACGAAAACAGAGGAGAUAGAACAAAGAAAAACAUAGAGAAAACCAGGGGGAAGAACACAGAGACAGGGUGUUAAAAAUAACACUCUUAUGAAGCUUACAGGAUUGAUGGAAAUUGCAUACCCUUAUUUGAUAAACGAGUGCUGCUUAAAUACAGCUUCUUACAAACAGAAAUGAGAAAAACUAGCUACUGCAGAUGUUAUUUUACAUGGAUCAAAUCACUAGUAUUAUGGCUUGAGAAGAGGUCCUCUUUGACUGCCAUAAUCCUAGAAAAAUAGCCACAAUCCCAGAAUGAUAGGAAUAAGAUUUUAUUUCUACAGAAUUCUUCAAACUAAAUCUUCCUAAUAUAUCCUCCCCUAAACUGAGCAUGCUGUGCAUUUGCUCAGUUUAGAUCCUUCUUCUCUUAUACUCCCAAGAGCAUUCAAAGUUUUACAAAAUCUUCAAGUUUAAGCGGUUUUGUCAAAAUGUCUGCUAGCUGCUCCUUAGUGCCACAAUAGAUGAGCUCUACUUCUCCCUUUUUGAUAAGAUCUCGAAUAAAAUGAAAUCUUACAUUGAUGUGCUUUGUUCUCCCAUGAAAUACUGGAUUCUUGGACAAUUUAAUGGAUGAACUAUUGUCGCAGAACACAGUAACACAUUUACAAUGAUCUUCUUCAAUGCUAUUUAGAACUUAUUUCAUCCAUAUACUGCACCAUCUCUGCUUCAGUAGUUGAUAAAGUAACUAUUGGUUGCUUUUUGGAGCUCCACGCUACUGCACCAUCUCCCAUCAUGAACACAUACCCAGAAGUGCUUUUCCCCCCCAUCCAAGUCACCCGCAAAUUCACUAUCAGUGUAUCCUUUAAGGGUGCUGUCUGAGCUUCUUUUGUAGAAAAUACCAAACUUCAUUGUCCCUCUUAGGUACCUGAGUAUUCUUUUUGCAUCUAGUAGAUGUCCUUCAUUCGGUGCAGCCAUGAACCUACUUAGAAAACUCACUGCAUACAUUAUAUCAGGUCGCGUUGUUGUGAUAUACAUGAGGCUGCUAAUUAAUUGCUUGUAUUCGGUGUUGCCAAUUUCUUCUCCUUUCUCUUAUGAUGACAGUUUAGUUCCUGGAACCAUAGGGUUAUUGACUGCAUUGCAGCUGCUCAUUCCAAACCUUGCAAGUAUUUCAUUUGCAUAUUUUCCUUGACAUAAGAAAAUUCCAGCCUCUGUUUGAUGUACCUCUAUACCCAAAAAAUACUUCAUCCUCCUAGAUCAGUCAUAUCAAAUUCUGACUGCAAUGGAGGCUUUAAAAUUUUUCACAUAACAUCACAUUAUUACCAGUAAAGAUUAAGUCAUCCACAUACACAAAUUACACCAAAAAAACUUCCUCCUUCCCUUCUUUAUGAACAAGGUGUGUUCAUAGCUGCAUUUGUUGAAACCUUCAACAGCAAAGUAAUCCUCUAACUGACUGUACCAAGCUCUAGGGGCUUGUUUCAAUCCAUUUAAUGCCUUCUUUAGUAGAUAUGCUUUGUACUCUUCUCCCUUUCGAAUGUAUCAUUCGGGUUGUUCAAUAUAAACAACCUCAUUCAGUUCUCCGUGAAGAAAAGCGCUAUUUACGUCAAGCUGAAAGACUUCCCAACCUCGCAGUGCAGCUAGAGAGAUUAGCAUUCUGAUGGUGUCCCAUCUAGCGACUGGCGAGAACACUUCGUUGUAAUCUAUUCCUUAUCUUUGAUCAUAACCCUUCACAACCAGUCUUGCCUUGUGCUUAUCGACCUCUCCUUUUUCAUUCAAUUUGGUUUUGAAAACCCACUUCACUCCAAUCUUUUUCAUUCCUUUAGGUAGGUCCACUAACUCCCAUGUAUUGUUUUUCUCGAUAGCUUGUAUCUCAGUGUCCAUGGCAUUUUUCCAUUUAAUGUCUUUUACGGCAUCACCGUAACUUACUGGAUCAUCUUCAGUAGCAUAGAGCACUAAGUAUUGCUCUUCCUCUUCUUCCUCUGCAAGAUUUUCACCAGUUACAUAAUCUUGCAGGUGUCUUGGAGGUAUGCUGAUCCUUUUUGUCUGCUCCCUUCGAGUAUCCUGAGAUUGAGCAAGGGUUGUACUUCUUGCCUUCUCUGUUUGUGCUGCAGCCUGCUCAUUUGGUAUGCCAUCUUCUUCUCUGCUUGUUCCAUUGAAUGAUUCUGUGUCAUCCCAAGUUAAUUCCUCUUGUUCAUCAUCUGUCCUCCCCCAAUUCCAUGUCUCCUUUUCAGCAAAGAUCACGUCUCUGCUGGUGAUGAUUUGCUUGCUCUCGGGAUCGUAAAGUCUAUAGGCUUUAGACUCUUCACUGACUCCCAGGAAUACACAUUUAUGGCUUUUAUCUUGUAGCUUGAUCCUCUUCACAUCCGGUAUAUAUGCAUAGGCAACACAUCCAAAAACUCUAAAAUGUGCCACAUUAGGCUUGUUUCCAGUCCAGCACUCUUUUGGAGUUUUAUUUGUAAUUGAUGCAGUAAGACUUCAGUUGAUGAUGUGUACAGACCACUUUGCUGCUUCUGCCCAUAAAUUCCUUGGCAUUUUUCCUUCAACAAGUAAACAUCAAACCAUGUUCAUGAGAGUUCAGUUUUUACGUUCAGCAACUCCAUUUUGCUGAGGAGUGUAUGAUGUGUUGAACUGUCUCUUGAUUCCCUGGGUGCUGCAAAAUUCUUGAAAAACUUGGGAAGUGUAUUCUCCUCCUCGAUCGCUUCUAAGACACCGAAUGCUCAUCCCUGUCUCUUUCUUAACUUUGGUUUUAAAGUGUUUGAACUUCUCAAAAGUUUCUCCUUUUUCUGCCAGUAAAUAAAGCCAUGUUUUUCUACUAAAGUCAUCUAUGAAUGUCAGAAUAUACCUCUUGUUGCUCAUGGUAGUUGGAGUGAUUGGUCCACAGAGAUCUGAGUGGAUAAGCUGCAACUUUUCUGAUGCUCUCCAGUUAGCUUUCUUUGGCAUCUCUUCUCUGUGUUGCUUCCUUUUGUUGCAUACUUCACACACUUUGCUUACUUCUAUGAUUUUAGGCAUCCCUUCCACCAUUUGCUUGAAGUGCAAGCUUCAGAGUCCUUUCUGAUGUAGGUGACCAAAUCAUCUAUGUGUGUUACUUGCAGACAUGCAUCAUUGUGUUGUUCAGUAAGCAUGACUAACAUUCGGUUUGUAGUCAUAUAUGUGUGUACAAUCAGUCCCUUUGUGGGAUGAAGGAUCUUGCAGGCUCCUCUUUGCAUUAUCACUGUUAGAUCUUUCUCUUGCAGCUGCCCAACACUUAACAAAUUGUUUGUUAAGUCUGGCACAUAAUAUACAUCACUUAUGAUUUGUGUUCUUCCUUGAACUCUCAGUUUAAUGUUCCCAAGACCCAUAACCUGCAUCCGAGCAUUGUUUCCCAGCUUCACAGUGUGUGAGAACUCCUCAUUCAAUGUAACAAACCACGUUUUGUUACCUGUCAUAUGGUUGGAACAUCCUGAAUCGAUGAACCAAGCAUCUUCUCUGUUUGAUCCCCUCAUUUCAACGUGAGCCAUGAGUAAAAGUUCUUCUUCAUCAUCUAGCUCAACAUAAUGUGCGUUUCUUUUCCAGGUAGGGCAUUCAUACUAAAAAUGCCCUGGCUUGUGACAUUUGAAGCAUUUCAUUGUGCCUCUGCCAAACACCUGCCUUCCUCUCCCUCUGUUUGGACCUCUAAAGCUGAUACCUCCUCUUCCUCUAUUAGUGUUUAUUCUGCCUUCUCCAAUUGAAGUAUGCAACACCUGCUCCUCGUUUUUAUCUUUUUCCAGCCUUUUGAAUUUGGCUUCGUGAACUACAAUAGAACUUUGUAAUUCAUCAACUGUCAUGGAGCUCACAUCCUUGGAUUCUUCUAUCGAGACCACCACAUAAGUACUCUGUAAUUGACUCACUUUGCUUCAUUUGUAGAAUCUCAAAGUCUCUUCUUAGUGUGUUGAGAAGAGAUUUCUUCACCUUUGCAUUCCCUCCAAACUUGCUCUUCAAUGAAUCCCACACAAUCUUUGAUGUGCGCCUGUCUAAGAUUUGCUCAAAUGUAACUCUAUCUAAUGCUUGAUAUAGAUAGUGUUUCACUUGAUGAACUUUCAUCUUGGCAUUAUCAUGUUGUGUCUGCUGCGUAUUAGUAAGCGCAGUUCCAAUGAUUGGCUCCUGAACACCAAUCUCCAUAAGACUCCACAGCCCUUUUGCUCUCAGCAAGUUUUCCAUCAAUUCACUCCAAUGAUCAUAAUGUUGACCAUCAAAAUGAGGAAUCUUCGUUAAACUCUUAUCCUCACUCAUUUUCUUUCUUCUUGUUAUCGAGCUGACUUUUGUUGUGUUUGAAUCUAUAGAGGCUCUGAUACCACUGUUAGAAAUAACACUCUUAUGAAGCUCACAAGAUUGAUGGAAAUUGCAUACCUUUAUUUGAUAAACGAGUGCUGCUUAAAUACAGCUUCUUAAAAACAUAAAUGAGAAAAACUAGCUACUGUAGAUGUUAUUUUACAUGGAUCAAAUCACUAGUAUUAUGGCUUGAGAAGAGGUCCUCUUUGACUGCCAUAAUCCCAGAAACAAUCCCAGAAUGAUAGGAAUAGGAUUUUAUUUCUGCAGACUUCUUCAAACUGAACCUUCCUAAUACAGAGAAUAAGAGAUAAACACGAAAGAGACAGGGCAAAAAGGAGGUAGCAUCGGCCAGCCAGAGCUCCACCAUCGUCUUCAUCGCCUCUAGUAGACCAAGUAAGCAUCCCUUUGUUCUCACAUUUGAUUGCAGUGCACUGUGCAAGUGAAUUUUAAUUCACUUGCAUAGUGACUGGGCUUAGCCCAGCAAGGUCACUGGCUUGGGCCAGUGACCAGGAUGGGGCCAGCCCAGCCCCCAUGGGCUGAGCUGGCCCAGCCCAAAAAACUAAAAAAUAAAAUAAAAAAAAUAAAAAAUAAAAAAUAAAAAGUGUAGAAAUAAAAAUUUUUGCAUGUCUUAGAAAAAAAUGUAUUUUUAUUAACUUAUUUAAUGAUAUCAGGAUCAUGAAUAAAAAAAAAUAUACUAAUUUUUUUUCAUAGCUACGAAUUUUUACCAACGCCAGAGUUGGAAUUAUUCGUGGUGGAAUUUUUACCAACGCCAAAGUUGGAAUUAUUUUAGAUCGAAUAUUUACUGACGCCAGAGUUAGGAAUAUUAUAAAUAAAUCAUCAUAGCAUAAGCGAAUAAAUGUUUAGCAAUUUAAGACAAAAUCAACAAUGCAGUCUGCCUCAGGCGGAACGUUUAAGGUGUGAUAACAUCUUUCUUUUUACGUAACCAGUCUCGUACCAUAGAAUCUCUGUUGACCAAUUAGGGUUCCUAGUGACCAUAAUACUAGGUGGCGAGUCCUUAAACAAUACAUUUUCCCCUAAAAGAAUAAGAUUCUAGAAAUCUAUUCUUUUUCUAUAAUCAAGGAUUAUUUUUAGGGCUCGCGAUGUCGAGUGCAAUAGUAUGAUAGAUUGUUCCGAAUCAAAAUUAGCUCUUUAAAAUUAAAAAUUUAGCUAGAUAUUGUGUUUUUUUUUAGCAUUUUUUUUUUAAUUUAGACACUAUAUGGUUGUGAGGUUUCUUUUGAUUGUGAUUAAAGUUGGUUUUGAUUUAGAAAUAAUUUUAGCAUAUGUUGUCCAUGAAAGGACAACAAUGAUGCAGCAUUAAAGUGAAUAAAACCCAAAUUUCCAAAAUGUUUGUGGUUUGUUCGGGGCUCAAAGAUUUGCACUGUGAAUUUUAUGGAAUGGAAGUGCUUGAUAAUAAUUUGGCAAAAUAAAAAUGAACUGAUUAGAUUUUGUAGGCAAGCUAAUGCAAUCUCCUCACAUCUUUCUUAUAAUGGCUAUUAAGUAGUUAAAAUAUUUAUGACAAUAACUUUUAGUGACAUUUUUAUUCAUUUAAUACAUUAGGGAUUCUUUAAUUAUUAAUUAAAAUAUAAUGAUGAACUUGUAAAUACUUAGAUUUUUUUUUGUUGAUUUUUUCUUAAUGCCUUAUAAAGUAUCUCGAAGUUUUCUAUAAUUUUCAAAAAAAUAAAGGCAUAAUAUAAAAUUGAUUAAACUUCUGGAUGAUUAGGUGAUUUUUUAUUUUUAAAUCAAAUAACAUCAAAUUGAAAAUUUUUAAUUAUUGUUUUAGUUUUUUAUAUUUUCAUAUUAAAGAACUUAAUAUUAUUUGAAAUGUCAUCAAUUAAUUAAUGAUUUUGCCAUAGUUAUUAAACCUGGAGUGGUGUGGUAGGUCAACUCGGGACCCAGUCGAUCCAGUGGCUGGACCGGUUCAGGUAAGGUAAAACACCAGACUAAGCAAAAACCUGGCAAAACCCGGUCGACUCGUGACCCAGGCAACCCGGCAAAACCAGGUAGAGACCCGUUUUUUUUUUUUUUAAAUGUGUUUUUUCUCCUAACCAAAAACCUUAUAUAUAUAUAUAUAUAUAUAUAUAUUAUAUAUAUAUAUUUCAAAGUUCAUUAUAUAAAUAUUAGAAAGAUAUUUUAUUUUUUAAAUUUGGAAUUUGAAGCUCUUUAAUAUAUAUACUUUAUGCUCACAAGAAAAAAAUUUAUUUUUCAAUAUAGGAUAUAAAAUAUUUUUUUGGUUUAAAUAUUUUAACUUAAAAGAAUAACAUUGUAUCUUUUUAAUAUGGAAUAAAAAAUCUUUUAAAAUAAUUUUUAAACUUUAUUAGUUAAAACAUCUAUGGCACAUUAUAUAACAUCCAUUUUAUAGGAUGCCUUGGUAUAAUUGCUUUUAUCCUUGCCCUCUUAUUAUCAUUAGUAACCCUGAAAACCAUUGCUAUAUUGGUAUGAUAUCUAUUUUGAUUCUAGUCAAAUAGAUAAUGCUUUUUUUUUUCUUCCCGUGGAUGCCCUUUUCUUGAUAGAAUAUUACAUAUGUUGUCUCAUUAUUUCAUCAUCAAAUGUGGUUGUCAAUAUAAUGCAAUGUCAAUUUUAACUUUUCUCCCUGUUUAACUAAUUUAAUUAAGUCCAUAAUCUUUAAAUUAUACAGUGUCAACAAAAUUGAAGCUCGCCAACCAACAUUAAAUCAUAAUUGUUAAAUUCUACAAAACAAAAUCCAUAUUUUAUUAUCUAUAUCACUCAUUAUAGAUUAUAGAUUAUGAUAUAUUUAUAUAUCGAAUGGAUGUUAUAUGAGAUUUGGAUUUAAAUAGAAAUGAUCUUUUUUUUUAAUAAGAAAAAGUCACAAAAGAAAAACAAAUUAAAGAAAAUAUUAAUAAUAAUAAUAAUAAUAAUAAUAAUAAUAAUAAUAAUAGUACUAGUGAUAGGAGUAAUAAUAAUAAGCAUGAAAGAACGAGAAUGAGACACAGCAUAAAAGAGUUGGUGACAGGUAAAAGUUAAGAGAGUUGAGGCUACUGGUGUUAGAAGAGAAAGCUAGACAAUAUCCUAAGUGAGAGACUUUGUUUGUUGAAAUUUAAAGUCGGGCUAUAUGUUUUCUGGACCAAUACUUCAUAAUUAUACCUCCUUCAUGUUUUAAAAAUUUAGGUCACGUGCUCUUUUUAGUGGAUCGAGCUUUGGUCCCAGAUCCAUAAAUUUCUUUCCAAUUGAUCUUUACCUAAUUUGGCAAGUGUGAGAUCUAUCAUCAGUGAAAUCAACUAAGGUGAAUCAAAAUGCAAAAAAGAAAAAGAAAAAGAAAAAGAGGUUUUAAUUUGGCUGCUUUCGUUCUUACUACGCUUAUGCAUGCAGAGUUCUUUCGUAAUCAAAUAAUAAAACUGAAAACAACACAACGAGGUUUAUGGAGACAGCUACCUGCUGACAUGCUUGUUUGCUUGUGUGUCUAGUUUUUGUAAGUACACUGUCUUUAGCGGUUACUCUUGAUGCUUCGAAGGAAGUGAUAAAAUUUUUAGACUUUAUUUUGAUUUCUCUUCCUUCUAGAUAUCUCUAUCUUUGUUGACCUGUAGCGGGUGCGGCAUAAUAUAUCUCCUAAAUAAACUUUUUUUGUAAAUGGCCUAAACUGGAUGGGAAUUGCAUUUCAAUCUACCAUUUUCAUAAAGCGUAGUUGGUCAAACAUUUGUAAUCGGUCGCUGCAACAAAGAUCCGUGAUUCGUUAGAAGUCCGAAAUAUCUUCCUAUUGAUGCACCGACGGCUUUCAAACCUGGCAUGUUCCUAGCUAGCAUAAAAUAAAGAAGGAGAAGCAAAAUCUACAGAAGUAUUAUUUGUGAUUUAUACAUAUGAUUGAAAAUUUACAUAUUUUUACUGAAAUUACAUUGAUUCAAGUAUCCAUGUUGACAUCUAUGGCUUGAAUAAUACACAAAACAGAAACUACAGAAGGGUUCCACCCGAGACAUACUCGGUGUAGGCCAACGCAACCAAACCCAACAUCGCAAAUCUACCGUUCCACAUCUCAGCAUCAGAUGUCAUUACGCCCUCUGACCUGGAUUCCGCGCUGACCCCUUUGAAUAGUGGGAUCAAAGACGCGACAGAGAGCAGAAUACUUGUUCCGAGGAACCACGAGACUCCACCGUUAGAUAUCUGAGAAAAAAGGUCUUGGCCCUUGGACAGUUCCACUGCCAUUGCAGCGACAAAGCCUAUCAUGGCAAGCCUGCCAUUGAUCCUCUCUGGUGCGGGUCCGCUAAAUGCGAACAAAUCAAGGAAGUUUGUGCUGACCUGUUAAUCACAGUCAUACGGGCGUUUACAUUAGAAGUGGAAGCAUAAAUGCAAUCACAAAGUCCUUGCUCUACUUAAAUUGUUAAAAUUAAACAUUUCCGAAAUAAAUCCUGUACCUUUGGCUCAGGAGUAGAACCUGACUCUGCUAUCUUCUUGAUCUGGUCACCCUGCAAAUUGAUUCAAAUGUUAACACAAUUAAUCCUAAGAACCAUCACCCAAAGUAUACACACAGGAAGUCGAAAUAGAUUCCAAACUCACCAGCUUGGCCUUGCACUGCACCCGUUUGCUAGCACUGCCACGUAGUCGUGGCACAUACGUCGCAGAAAACAAGUUGCUCACUCGAGACCGGUUUUUCACCAGGCUACUGGCUACUGGAGUUGCAAGGACGGUCUGCAUGACUGUUGAUGUGGCCAUCACUUAAUUAGAAGAAUGUUUAUCACUCGAGCUGUGAUUAAGAAACUUAAUCAAUAUCUAAUCUGUGAAAGCUAUUCUAAUGCUAGAGGCAACGUUCGUAAGGGAUAUCACUACCAGUGAGUUGAAGCUGGAGCUGUUUGCUUUGUAAUGAUAAUUAAUGUAUCUGAUAAUGGUUUGGUAGGCUGUUAUAUAGCCGAUGGGGCAAGAGAGGAGAGGGCGUUUUGCUCCCACGUCAUCUAUAUCUAAUUAAAAAGCUGAUUGGAUCACGUGGCUUCGGGUGUCCUCCACAUGGUCAAGUGGGUUACGUGGCCUCCUCACAGUCACUAGUGGACCCCACCCCAUUUAAGAAUCUGAGGCCAUUGUUGUUCUAGGUUUUUCAGCUGAGCAGCGACCACGGCAUAGUAAUCGAACUGGACUCAGCCACGAUUUUACCGCAUUAAUUUGACACGUUCAAAAUAACACAGCUAAAGUAAAUCGUACUAAUGUAUAAAAUUUUUGCAAUUGGCCGACAUGUUUUUUUUCUUAAAUAUCUUUUUUUAACAUGUGGUUGAUGAUAGAUUGUGUACUUUUAUUGAAUUUUUAUUAAUAUCUAUUGUAUAUUGAUAUUUCACGUCAAGUUUAUUACAACUAAAUGUUUUUUUAGUAAUUCAAAAAUAAUGUUAAAUAAAUUCUAUAAUUAAAAUUUCAAAUAUUUACAUCACAUUAUAACUCAAUCAGAAACUCGAUAAAAAUCAUGUGCAAACCCUCAAUUUUAUUUUAUUUUUUUGCAUUGAUUUAUUUAUUUUUUAGACAAAUCAACUUAUUUAAUUCAUCAUUUUAAAAAAAAAAAUUCUUUUAAAUUUUAGCAAGUCAUUUAACAUUAAUUACUCUAUUAUCUAAUGUCAAUUUACAAUUUAUAUUCUAUAGAUUUGUAAAUGGAGAAAUAUCAAUUUUUUAUUCACAUCUCUCUCCAUAUAUUUGAAUUGAUUAUAGAUUUAUUUCCCAUUAAAACUUCUAAUGAGAAAAAAAAACAAAAAAAAAACACAAAAUAAUGCAUCUUAUGUUUAAUCAAGACACAAAACUCAACAACAAGAAUAUAGAGAGAAAUGACAUUAAUAUUUAAAAUAAAUAGAUAAAUAUUUUGAAGGUAUUUUAUUGUCAUUGCACGGGAGGACCCGGUUUUUUCAGAAGGCUACAAGAUAGCAUUUUCAUAACGUUGCAUUAAAGAAAAUUAUUCAAUUAUUAAUUAGUUACAUGUUUCAAAUUUAAGAUGAUAACUUUGAAUCUAAUUGCAUUUUUAUGUGACCUUCCACCUAAUUUCUUUCCCCUUAUGGAUUCCGAAUCUAAGAAAAGCCUAGACUAUUAGUUGUACUCGAUUGACCACUUCACAAAAUUGCGACAAAAUCCAAAACAAUUUAUGCUUUCCAUUGGUCAUGGUUAUGGCUCUCGGUAAGAGUUGCUUCUACAUUAGAUUUCCACAAGUUCAUUUAUUAAAAAAAGAUCUUUAUAGUUUUUUUGCACUGAUUUCAUUGAACAAGAAGAUAUAUUUUACUUUGUGGAGAACAAUUUAAAAGUAUCGUUUUCGGCGAGUAAAUUAAACAAAUAGAUGGUGAGUAUAAAGCUGGGGAGAAAAUGAUAGGAAUGGAAAAUCAAACCCAAUUAAUUUGCUAAUAUAGAAGGGAAUUUUGUUCGAUCUAAUUUGACAUUAUCAGUAUCAUUUAAACGAUAAUCAAAGGAUCAUGCUUGCAGUCGUUGCUAAUAAAGAAGGAGAAAGAUACAAUGUUAUAACAAGACGUUUAAUAAAACUAACAUGAUUUAUGUCAAAACAGAGAGCACAAAAAAAGGAGACAAUAAAAGGCAGACGAAGUAAAGGAAAAAAAAAAAAGUGUUUUGAGAGAGAAAGAGUGGUAGCAUGGGUUGGUGCUAGGGUUGAGAAAGGGCAAAUAGGAGUAAAUUAAUGCUAUAUUUUUUUCAAAUUUAUAAAAUCAAUCCGAGUUUAUUGAUUUUGACUGAGUUUAUUGAGUCAAAUUUAAUUUUACAAGUUUUCAAGUUUUUAGUUUGAUUUUGCAUAUUUGAUAAAUGUUGACUCGUAAAAUCGUAUGAUUUUACGAGUUAACUCAUGGUGUUAAUAAAAUUGCUUAUGAUUCUUUCGUAUUUUAUAUUUGUUUUUUAUGUUUUAAAUACUUGAUAAUUAAAAUUGUAAGUUUUAUAAAAUUUUAAGCAAAAGUAAGUUUGUGAUUUAUAACACAAUGUAUGUAUUUUAUGUAAAAUCAUUUUUUAAAGAGAAAAUUAUCCUGAGUAUCCUAUAGUUUACUUAAUUUAACACUUUGUUUUUAUUAUUUUAUGAAUUACAUAAAAUAUCAUCCAUCAAUUAAAAAGUUUAAAUCAAUUGAAAUGAUGAAAUUAACCUUGUAUAUAUUAUUUUAUAAAAACAAUUAAACAACAAUGUGAACCUUCUUUUAGACUGGCUAUAACAAACUCAUUUAAUUCAAGGUUAAACCUUAUUUUAAUUGUCUUCCAUGCAACGGAUCUAGGGUUGGUGACUAAAAUAACCAUAAUAUUGCUUUGCUUUCUUCUCUUCUCUUUGAGCUUCUCCUUCCCAUUCUCUUCUUUUUUUCGCCUUCAUCAACUCCCCUUUCACUUGCCUCCAAUUCUUAUAAUUCCAAUUCCAUGGAUUUCAAUUCCAUUAAUUUCCCAUGAAAUUCUUUUACAAAGUAUUUAUCAUUAUUUUUUCUCUCAAGAAAUCAUCAAUUCACUUUAAUUUCUCUCGAAUCCUACAUCCAAGAAACAUAAAAGAACCCAAUUAUGAGAAUCAGAUACUGAGUCGACCCAUAAAGACAAAGACAAAGGCCAUAAACUCACAAAUUAACUCAAUCAGUUGAACUAAGUUUCUUUUCAUCUUGACCCUUUCAAAACCACCUGUAGACUAAGCUAUUCAAUGUUUGAAUGAUUGUUUGGCUUACUUGAACUAUUACGAGAGUGUCAUCACCUAAAUGGAACAUUGAUAAAUCUCUUAGCGGAGCUCAGGCUAGGCAUAAUUUUAUAUUGGCCGUCAGGUCAAAUUACAUUAAAAUAAUUGAUAGAUUUGGGGUUAGUAAAUGAGUGACUCAGUUUUAUACCAAUCAACUGCGUUUUAUUUUAAGCAACAUUUUUUUGCUUUUAGGUCGAGUUUCCUUUUUCUACCGAGCUUGAAUUUGUGUCCAAUGAUAUUGAGGCUUUUAUUGAAUUUCUAAUUUAUUAUGGUAUAAUAGAUCGUUCAGAAUCAAAAUACUCUCUUCAAAAUUAAAAAUUUAGCUAGAUAAUGUGUGGUUUUUUUUUUUUUUUGCAUGUUUAUUUCCAACUUUUAGCCACUAUUUGGUUGUUAGGUUUUUGUUGAUUGUGAUUAAAGUUGGUUUUGAUUUUGAAAUAAUUUUAGCUUAUGUUGUCCAUGGAAGGACAACAAUAAUGAAGCAUGAAAGUGAAUAAAACCUAAAUUUCCAAAAGGUUUAUGGUUUGUUUGGGCCCCAAGAGUUGCAUUGUGAAUUUUAUGGAAUGGAAGUGCUUAAUAAUAAUUUGGCAAAAUAAAAAUGAAUUGAUUAGAUUUUGUAGGCAAGCUAAUGUAAUCUCCACAUAUUUUUCUUAUAAUGGCUAUUGAGUAGUUAAAGAAUUUAUGACAGUAACUUUUAGUGAUAUUUUUAUUCAUUUGAUACAUUACGGAUUCUCUAGUUAUUAAUUAAAAUAUAAUAGUAAACUUGUAAAUACUUAAUUUUUUUUGUUGAUUUUUUCUUAAUGCCAUAUAAAGUAUAGUGAACUUAUAAAGUUCACAAAGUUUUCUAUAAUUUUCAAAAAAAUAAAGGCAUAAUAUAAAAUUGAGUAAACUUCUGGAUGAUUAGGUGAUUUCUCUUUUUUAAAUAAAAUAACAUCAAAUUGAAAAUUUUUAAUUAUUGUUUUAGUUUUUUAUAUUUUCAUAUUAAAAACUUAAUAUUAUUUGAAAUGUCAUCAAUUAAUGAUUUUACCCAUAGUUAUUAAACCUGGAGCGGUGCGUUUGGUUGACUUGGGACCCGGUCGACCUGGUAGCUAGACCGAUUCGGGUAAGUUAAAAGACCAGACUAAGCAAAACCUGGCAAAACCAGGUAGAGAUCCUUUUUUUUUUUCAAAUGUGUUUUUUCAUCUAACCAAAGACCUCUUUUUUAUAUACAUUUUUAGUUGGAUAUUAACCCUUUUCAAAGUUCACUAUAUAAAUAUUAGAAAGAUUUUUUUAUUUUAUUAAUGUUGGAUUUAAAGCCCUUUAAUAUAUAUACUUUAUGUUCACAAGAAAAAAUUAUUUUUCAAUGUGGGGUAAAAAAAACCUUUUGAAGUGAUCUUUUAAACCUUAUUAUUUAUAACAUGUAUAACCUAUAUUUAUAUCGAUUGUUUUUUAAUUAUUUCAUAUGAAAUAUUAAAACUUCAAAUAUUUUUUUUUCAUUUUUCCGGGUUGACCUGAGUCGACCCGCGUAACUCGGGUCAACCCGCUUAACCCAGGACUAGGAUCCAUGGUCAGGUCAAUUUUCGAGUUAAGUUUUGUAACUAUGAUUUUACCUCUUCAGUAAUAUUUUAAAAAUAAUUUUCAAAUGCAAUGUAAUCAUAUUAUCAAAAGGAAAAUAAAUGUAUAAUUGAAAUAGUGACCUUAUAAUUCAGACGAAAAAAAGGUUAAAUCUAGUAAUUAUUUAAAUUGUUUAAAUAUUAUUCAAACUGUACUACCACCACUUAUUCUAUACAACUAGGAUGAUUUAAAACAUUUGUAAAACCACUCUUGUAUUGGCAUACAUUUAUGUUCAUAGAGAUGAACUUAGAAUUUGUUGACAGAAAAGAUCAAAAUGCACAGCCUUGUUGUCGGGUGGCUAUUACAUAAAAAUAACUUCAAAAAUAAUAUAAGUUCAAGGAUGAUUUUGUAAACAUCUCAAACUUUGAGGGCCAGUGCCACCCUUAGCCGCCCCCUAGAUUUAAGAUUUAUCUCUCCACGUGCAAGUGUUUAUUAGGCCUUUUGGCACAUUAUAUAACAUGCAUUUUAUAGGAUGUCUUGGUAUGACAUCUGAUGUCUCAUUAUUUCAACAUCAAAUGUACAAUGUUAAUUUUAACUUUUUUCUCUUUUUAAUUAAUUUAAUUAAAUACCUAAUCUUUAAAUUAACAGUGUCAACUAAAUUGAAUCUCGUAUCUUCAGUGAAAUCCACUACGGCGAAUCAAAAUGCAAAAAGGAAAAAGAAAAAGAAAAAAAAAAGAGGUUUAAAUUUGGCUGCUUUCGUUCUUACUACGCUUAUGCAUGCAGAGUUCUUUCGUAAGCAAAUAAUAAAACUGAAAACAACACAAGGAGGUUUAUGGAGACAGCUACCUGCUGACAUGCUUGUUUGCUGCGGUUACUCUUGAUGCUUCGAAGGAAGUGAUAAUUUUAGACUUUAUUUUGAUUUCUCUUCCUCCUAAAUAUCUCUAUCUUUGUUGACCUGUAGCGGGUGCGGUAUAAUAUAUCUCCUAAAUAAACUUUUUUUGUAAGUGGCCUAAACUGGAUGGGAUUUGCAUUUCAAUCUACCAUUUUCAUAAAGCGUAGUUGGUCAAACAUUUGUAAUCGGUCGCUGCAACAAAGAUCCGUGACUCGUUAGAAGUCCGAAAUAUCUUCCUAUUGAUGCACCGACGGCUUUCAAACGUGGCAUGUUCCUAGCUAGCAUAACAUAAAGAAGGAGAAGCAAAAUCUACACAAGUAUUAUUUGUAUUUUAUAUAUAUGAUUGAAAACAUAUUUUGCUACUGAAAUUACAUUGAUUCAAGUAUCCAUGUUAACAUCCAUGGCAAUAAUACAAAAAACAGGAACUACAGAAGCGUUCUACACGAGACAUACUCGGUGUAGGCCAACGCAACCAAACCCAACAUGGCAAAUCUACCGUUCCACAUCUCUGCAUCAGAUGUCAUGACGCCCUCUGACCUGGAUUCCGCGCUUACCCCUUUGAAUAGUGGGAUCAAAGACGCGACAGAGAGCAGAAUACUUGUUCCGACGAACCACGAGACUCCACCGUUAGAUAUCUGAGAGAAAAGGUCUUGGCCCUUGGACAGUUCCACUGCCAUUGCAGCGACAAAGCCUAUCAUGGCAAGCCUGCCAUUGAUCCUCUCUGGUGCGGGUCCGCUAAAUGCGAACAAAUCAAGGAAGUUUGUGCUAACCUGUUAAUCACAGUCAUACGGGCGUUUACAUUAGAAGUGGAAGCAUAAAUGCAAUCACAAAGUCCUUACUCUACUUAAAUGGUUCAAACUAAACAUUUCCGAAACAAAUCGUGCCGUAUAAUUAAUCCUGUACCUUUGGCUUAGGAGUAGAACCUGACUCUGCUAUCUUCUUGAUCUGGUCAUCCUGCAAAUUGAAUCAAAUGUUAACACAAUCCUAAGAACCAUCACCCAAAGUAUACACAGAGGAAGUCGAAAUAGAUUCCAAACUCACCAGCUUGGCCUUGCACUGCACCCGUUUGCUAGCACUGCCACGUAGUCGUGGCACAUACGUAGCAGAAAACAAGUUGCUCACUCGAGACCGGUUUUUCAGCAGACUACUGGCUACUGGAGUUGCAAGGACGGUCUGCAUGACAGUUGAUGUGGCCAUCACUUAGAACAAUGUUUAUCUGUGAAAGCUAUUCUAAUGCUAGAGGCAACGUUCGUAAGGGAUAUCAUACCAGUGAGUUGAAGCUCGAGCUAUUUGCUUUGUAAUGAUAAUUAAUGUAUCUGACAAAGGUCUGGUAGGCUGUUAUAUAGCCGAUGGGGCAAGCGAGGAGAGGGCAUUUUGCUUCCACGUCAUCUAUAUCUAAUUAAAAAGCUGAUUGGAUCACGUGGGUUCGGUUGUCCUCACAUGGUCAAUUGGGUUACGUGGCCUCCUCACAGUCACUAGUGGAUCCCCACCCCGUUUAAGAACCUGAGGCCAAUGUUGUUCUAGGUUUUCCAGCUGAGCAGCGACCACGGCAUAGUAAUCGAACUGGGCUCAGCCACGAUUUUACCGCAUUAAUUUUACACGUUCCAAAUAACACAGUUAAAUGGAAUAUAUAAUUUGUCGACAUGAUUCUUCUCUAAUGAUAUUUUAGAAGGUGAUUGAUGAUAGUUUUUGUCUUUUCACUCCUACUUCUUAUCCUAAUCUUUUCUUUGUCAACUGAGCUAAUUUCAUUCUCAUAUUUUUAUCUUUGUCUCUUUCAAUAUAUUGAAAAGUUUUUCUUUUUCUCCUCAAUUAUCUAAUAUAUUACAAAGCUUUUCUUUUCUUCUAGUUGCCUAUUAAUUUCUCACAAAAACAUUUAAAGGCAUCUUCGGAUAUUUGCUGGGAUGACACAACAUCAUUCCAAUAUCCUUUCGAAUACAAGCUAAAUAAUAUUUGAAAUGGUAAAUAUCUCAACUGAAAAUUUUCAAAUAAUAAUUGCAUUGAACUUUUCUUGAAUUCUUAUUAAUAUCUAUAUCAUGUUGCCAUCUUACAUCAAGUCUAUUGCCAUUAAUAGUUUUUUUAGAUGCCUUGUAUCUUACAAUUCAAGAAUCAAUUCAAAUCAAUUCUAAAAUUAAAAUCUCAAACAUUUACUUUUACUUCACAUUGCAACUCAAUAAGAAACUUGAUAAAAAGCAUGUGCAACCCUCAAUUUCUUUAUUAUUUUUACUUUGAUUCCUCUAUUUUUUGGAUAGAUCAACUCAUUUACUUUACUAUUUACAAGAAAUGAGUCCUUUUCAAUUUUAACAGGUCAUUUAAUAUUAAUUACUCUAUUAUUUAAUGUUAAUUUACAACUUGUAUUUUAUAGAUUUGUCAGUUAAAACAGAGAAAUACCAAAUUUUUAUUCACAUAUUUCUCCAAGUAUUUGAAUUGAUUAUAGAUUUAUUUCCCAUUGAAACUUUAAAGAGAGAAAAAAAAUUAGAGAACACAAAAGAAUGCAUCUUAUGUUUAAUCAAAACACAAAACUCAAUAGAGCAAGAACAAAGAGAGAAGUGACAUUAACAUUUAAAAUAAAUAAAUAAAUAAAUAUUUUGAUUGUUAUUUUGAAGGCAUUUCAUUGUCGUUGCAAGGGAGAACCCGAUUUCUUCAGAAGGCUACAAGAUAGCAUCUUUAUAAUGAUGCAUUAAAGAAAAUUAUUCAAUUAUUAAUUAAUUAUAUGUUUCAAAUUUAAGAUGAUAACUUUGAAUCUAAUUACAUUUUUAUGUGACCUUCUACCUAAUUUCUUUCCCCUUAUGGAUUCUAAAUAUAAGACAAGCCUAGACUAUUCGUUGUAAUCAAUUGACCACUUCACAAAGUUACGACAAAAUCCAAAACAAUUUAUGCUUUCUAUUGUUUUAGUUUUUUUAUAUUUUCAUAUUAAAAAACUUAUUAUUAUUUGAAAUGUCAUCAAUGGAUGAUUUUACUCAAUAAUAUUUUUAAAAUAAUUUUUAAAUGCAAUGUAAUCACAUUAUCAAAAGGAAGAUAAAUGUGUAAUUGGGAUAAUGAACUUAUAAUUCAGAUGAAAAAUUGUUAUAUCUAGUAAUUAUUUAAAUUGUUUAAAUAUUUUUAAACAUUAUUACUUCAGGAUGAUCAGGGUGAUUUCCCCCUUUUUAAAUCAAAUAACAACAAAUUGAAAAUUUUUAAUUAUUGCUUUAGUUUUUUCUAUAUUUUCAUAUUAAAAAACUUAAUAUUAUUUGAAAUGUCAUCAAUUGAUGAUUUUACGUCUUCAAUUAUAUUUUAAAAAUAAUUUUUAAAUGCAAUGUAGUCACAUUAUCAAAAGGAAGAUAAAUGAGUAAUUGGGAUAAUGAACUUAUAAGUCAGAUGAAAAUUUGUUAUAUCUAAUAAUUAUUUAAAUUGGUUGGAUGAUUUAAAAAAUUUGUAAAACCAUUGUUGUAUUGGCAUAUAAUUAUGUUCAUAGAGACAAAUUUAGAAUUUGUUAAUAAAAAAAACCAAAAUGCAUAGUCUUGUUGUCGGGUGGCUAUUACAUAAAAAUAACUUUAAAAAUAAAGUACAUUCAAGGAUGAUUUUGUAAACAUCUCAAACUUUGAGGAGCCAGUGCCACCCUUAGCCUCCCUCUAGAAUCAUCUCUACAUGUGCAAGUGUUUGUUAGGCCUUUUGGUACAUUAUAUAACAUGUAUUUUAUAGGAUGCCUUGGUAUAAUUGCUUUUAUCCUUGCCCUGUGAUUAUCAUUUGGAAACCUGAAAACCAUUGCUAUAUUGGUAUGCUAUCUAUUUUGAUUCUAGCCAAAUAAAUGAAUUUUUUUUCUUGUAGAUACCCUUUUCUUGGUAGAAUAUUACAUUUGCUGCCUCAUUAUUUCAUCAUCAAAUGCAAUAUCAAUUUUAACUUUUUUCUCUUUUUAACUAAUUUGAUUAAGUCUCUAGUCUUUAGAUUAUAUAAUGUCAACAAAAUUGAAUGUCAUAUCUCGCUAAACAACAUUGAAUCAUGAUUGCCAAAUUCUUUCAAAAAACAACAUGUUUUAUGAUCCAAAUCACCCAUUAUAGAUUAUGGUAUAUUUAUGUAUCGAAUCGUUGUAUGAUAUAGGGUCGGGAUCUAGAAAGACAAUGAUCCAUAUCACCCAUUAUAGAUUAUGAUAUAUUUAUGUAUUGAAUCGUUGUGAUAUGAAACCUGGAUCUAGAAAGACAAUGACCCAUAUUUUUCAAAAUAAGAAAACAAGUGAAAAAAAAAUUAAAAAAGAAAAUAGUAGUGGUAGUAUUAAACAUUAAAUAUCGAGAAUGAUACAAAACACAAAAUUAAGUGAUGGUGAUAGCUAAAAGUUAGACCCCGUUUGGGAACACGGUGCAAACCGUGUUUCCUUAAAUUUUAAAUUUUUUAUUUUGUCUAAAAUGAUUUUUUAUAUAUAUUUUUAAAUUAUUUGAUGUACUAAUGUCAAAAAUAAUUUUUAAAAAUAAAAAACUUUAUUUAAAUGCAUUUCUAAACGAAAAGUACUUUGAACCGUCAUCACUAUCAUAAUCUCAAAUAUACCCUUAAAGAGUUAAGGCAGUAUACUAAUGUUAGAAAAGAAAGCUAGACAAUAUACUAAGUUAGAGACUUGCUAUGUUGAAAUUUAAUGUUGGGCUAUAUGUUUUCUAGACCAAUACAUUAUAAUUAUAUCUACUUCAUGUUUUAAAAAUUUAGGUAACAUGCUCUUUUUAGUGGUGUCACACCUGGAUAUCGCGACGACCGAUUAAAAAUCAUCACUCGAUUGAAAUAAAAAACACAUAUCAAGCAUUUUGUUCUUUUUAGGGAAAAAAGUCUUGUUCUAGAAGAUACCACCUAGUAUUAUAGUCAUUAGGAACCCUAACUGGUCAACAAAGAUUCUAUAGUACGGGACUGGUUACCAAAAAAAAAAAGACGUUAUCACCCCUUAAGAGUCUUAUCUGAAGCAAGUUGUAUUGCUGAUUUUGUUUAAAAUUGCUAAGAGUUUGUUCUCUUUUUCCUCUUUUAUUCUUCCUUUCAUGUUCCUGACCCUGACGUCAGUGAAUAAUUCCUACGAACAUUUUCAACUCUGGUGUUGGUAAAUAUCGUGCAAAUCCAAAAAAUACGAUACUCCUGACUCUAGCGUCAAUAAAUAAUUUCGCAAAAAAUGAACUUGAAGAAGAAAUUUUCUAUGUCAUUUUUUUCUUAUUUAUCCUUUACUAUUAUCCACCCUUUUUAGAUGAAAAAAAAAAUUGCGCGACAUAUUUGCAUUUAACAAUAAUAAUCCACAGAUUGAGCACAUAGCUAAAAAAAUACAAAUACAAAGGAAAACAAAUAAAACAAAGUGUGAGGGGCCCACAAAUAAAUCAACGAAGACCUCCAAAUAUUUUUGAAAUUUUAUGUUUCAUUUGGCCAAAUAUCAAAUUAGAAUGGGUAUAAAAAUUAUGGUCAAGGCAUAAGAGUGUGUUUGGCAAAACAUACCCUUAACAAAUACAAUUUGGGCCAGCUGGGCCACAAGCCCAGACCCGGCCAACUUUUCCUUUUUAACUUUUUUUUGGGCUGGGUCUAGCCCAACCAUCGAGGCUGAUCUAAACCCAGCGGCCCGGCCCAGUUACUGGUUCAGACCAGUAACCCGACUGGUUUAAUCCUUAGCUGCAAGCGUGCGAGGGCUAUUCACGCCUCACGCACGCUACAGAUCCUAGGUAAUUAAAUAGCAAAAUGAACAGUCUUAUGAAUUAAAAUGAUAGCGGGGAAAGACAGAAGACUUACCUGGUUUGCAGAGAAUUCGCGUGAGAUUGCAGAUGCUGGACGAAGCUCCCGUCUUCAAGUUCUCUCCCGUUUCUUGUUCUUUCCUGCUCUCACUCUCUCGUCUCUUCUGUUUCUCUUUUGUUUUUGUUUUUUUUCCUCUUCUGGAUACUCUCCUUUUCUUUUCUUCCCCCUGUUCUCUCCCGUUUUUCUCCCACUGUUUUCUGCGUUUUUUCAUCUCUGUUUCCCUCCUCCCCUUCUGGCUUCUCCUUUCCCCUUUUUAUAGAGCCAGACCAUGAGAGGGAUUCUUAUCCUUAUCUUCUCUAGGAUCGUCAUCCUGUGUAGAGUGAAUCGGCUCGGUGUUCGGAUGGAACGGAAACACCAACAGUCCUGCCAUUGUUGGACUGUUGGUGGUGCUUAUCCUUGCGUCAGGGGAGAAUUUUGAGGGUGAGGGAGACCAAAACAAACCCUACGGGUUCCGUGGGUAGCUAAUGCAACCUUGAACUUAGCUUGUGUGCGGCGAUUUUUUCUUUGCAGGGGGUGCUCUCUGUUUCCAAAGGAAGAAUGUUCUCUAUUUCCAAAGGAAGAAGACAGUGAACAACAAUGACGAACGACAUCGUUUUGGACUGGAAAUGGCCAUUUCUCAACUUGGUCCUCCAAGUUUCAACAUUUUUUAAUCGGGCCCUGGAUAAAAUUUCGGUGCCUUUUACAAAAAGGUCCCUGGAACUUAAUCACUUGUAAUUUUAUCCUUAAUAAACUCAGAAAUUUAAUAUUUGUUCAACUAUAUCCCUGGUUUCAUUAAUUAAACUAAUUCUAAGCUUAAUUAAGUCCUCAAACUUAUCUAUUCUUUAAUCAAACUCCUGAUAUCAUUAAUUAAACCCAAACAAAGUUUUAUUGAACUCCAUACCAGCUAAUUUUUUUAAUUUCUUUAAAAAUUAACAUCCAAAAUCAUAAAUUAAACAUGAUUAAACCCAUCAGAGCUUUUCAUUUAUGUUGUCUUGAUCAAAAUCUUAAUUUUUCAUUCAUUUUUUUAUUUUGAAUUUUAUAUUGUUUAAAAUUGAGUUAUAAUAAGUGGACCGAGCUUUUUGGUCUCAAAUCCAUAAAUUUGUUACCAAUUGACCUACCUCAUUUGGCAAGUGUGAGAUCUAUCUUCAGUGAAAUCUACUAGGUGAAUCAAAAUCCAUAAAAAAGAAGAAAAAAAAACAGAGAAAGAGUGAUAAAACUAACUACCACACCAAACAAAUAAAGAGGUUAUGCAGGCAGUCUUUCCUAAUCAAAUAAUAAAACUGAAAACAACACAAGGAGGUUUGUGGAGACAGCUACCUGCUGAUAUGCUUGUUUGCUUGCGUGUCUGGUUUUGUAAUUACACUGUUAUGAGCAGUUAACUCCUCUUUGGUGGCUUCGAAGGAAUUGAUAAUUUUAGACUUUAUUUUGAUUUAUCAUCCUCCUACAUAUUUCUCUCUUUGUUGGCUUCGAAGAAAGAGUUCAGCUUGGCCUGUAGCGGGUGCGGUAUAAUAUAUCCUCCUAAAUAAACUCUUUUUUUUUUUUUUUAAAGCGAUUUAAAUGGCCUAAACUGGAUGGGUAUUGGAUUUCAAUCUACAUUUUCAUAAAGCGUAGUUGGUCAAACAUUUGUAAUCGGUCGCUGCAAGAAAGACCCGUGAUUCGUUAAAAGUCCGAAAUAUCUUCCUAUUGAUGCACCGACGGCUUUCAAACUUGGCAUGUUCCUAGCUAGCAUAACAUAAAGAAGGAGAAGCAAAAUCUACACAAGUAUCAUUUGUAACUUGUAUAAAUGAUUGAAAAUUGAUCUUACAUAUUUCGCUACUGAAAUUACAUUAAUUCAAGUAUCCAUGUUAACAUCUAUGGCUUGAAUAAUACACAAAACAGAAACUACAGAAGGGUUCCACCCGAGACAUACUCGGUGCAGGCCAACGCAACCAAACCCAACAUCGCAAAUCUACCGUUCCACAUCUCAGCAUCAGAUGUCAUUACGCCAUCUGACUUGGACUCCGCGCUGACCCCUUUGAAUAGUGGGAUCAAAGACGCGACAGAGAGAAGAAUACUUGUUCCGACGAACCACGAGACUCCACCGUUAGAUAUCUGAGAGAAAAGGUCUUGGCCCUUGGACAGUUCCACUGCCAUUGCAGCGACAAAGCCUAUCAUGGCAAGCCUGCCAUUGAUCCUCUCUGGUGCGGGUCCGCUAAAUGCCAACACAUCAGUGAAUUUUGUGCUGACCUGUUAAUCAUCAUCACGCGUGCGUUUACAUUAGAAGUGUAAGCAUAAAUGCAAUAAAAAAGUCCAUGCUCUACUUAAAUUGUUAAAAUUAAACAUUUCCGAAAUAACUCAUGCCGUAUAAUUAAUCCUGUACCUUUGGCUUAGGAGGAGGACUUGGCUCUGCUGACAUAUUCUGGUCAUCCUGCAAAUUGAAUCAAAUGUUAACACAAUCCUAUGAACCAUCACCUAAACUACACACAAAGGAAGUCGAAAUAGAAUCCAAACUCACCAGCUCGGCCUUGCACUGCACCCGUUUGCUAGCACUGCCACGUAGUGGCACAUACGUAGCAGAAAACAAGUUGCUCACUCGAGACCGGUUUUUCACCAGACUACUGGCUACUGGAGAAGCAAGGACGGUCUGCAUUACUGUUGACGUGGCCAUCACUUAGAACAAUGUUUAUCACUCGAUAUGUGAUUAAGAAACUUAAUCAAUAUCUAAACUGUGAAAGCUAUUCUAAUGCUAGAGGCAACGUUCAGUAAGCGAUAUCACUACCAGUGAGUUGAAGCUCGAGCUAUUUGCUUUGUAUCUGAUAGUGGUUUGGUAGGCUGUUAUAUAGCCGAUGGGGCAAGAGAGGAGAGGGCAUUUUGCUUCCACGUCAUCCAUAUCUAAUGAAAAGGCCGAUUGGAUCACGUGGCUUCGGCUGUCUUCACAUGGUCAAGUGGGUUACGUGGACUCCUCACAGUCACUAGUGGAUCCCCACCCCAUUUAAGAAGCUGAGGCCAAUGUUGUUCUAGGUUUUUCAGCUGAGCAGCGACCACGGCAUAGUAACCGAACUGGACUCAGCCACGAUUUUACCGCAUUAAUUUGACACGUUGAAUCACAUAACCUGACAAACGAAUAUUAGUAUAUACUAAAAAACUUUUGAUGUUUUCUCCAGGGAGGUAUUCUUAUAAAUUUUAUAAUUACUAAAACUUAUUUGAUUAUUAAUUUUAGUGUUUUAAAAGAUUGUUGAAGAUGCAUGUAAACUGACGGGACAUUGAUGAUUAUCAAGAUAAAAAAUUUAUGAUGCUUAUGAGUUUUUUCUUCUUUUUAUAUUUGUAUUUUAUGUAAUAAAUACUCCAUAAUUAAAUUUUUUAGUUUUAUAAAAUUUUAAGCAAAAGUAAGUGUGUGAUUUAUAGAACAAUGCAAAUAUUUUAUGUAAAAGUAUUUAUUAAAGAGAAAAUUAUCCAAAGUAUCAUAUAGUUUACUUAAUUUUACAUUUUGCUUUAAUUAUUUUAUGAAUUACUGAAAUUAUUCUUGAUCAACCAAAAAUUUUAAAUCGUUUGAAAUGAUCAAAUUAACCUCUUUGUGUUGUAAUCUCUUGAAAAUUUGUUUCUUGUUGUGUGCUAUUAUAACUAUGGUAAAAAGAUGUCGUAGAUCAAGACAUGGUCAAAGGAGUAAGGAGGAUCCUUCUUAGGAGAGAAACAUCGAGAAGCUUGUCAUAAAGGACAUUCAAAGGUAAACACAAAGUUGACUCAUGGGUUAGAGGAUAAGGAUUUAUAAAACCAAAAUUAAAAGAGUGAUCAUGUGUCCCUAGCCAAUACUGAAAACCAAAGACAUGAUCAUGAAAUAUAACCUCUUGAUUAGGAAGAGAUCAACUUUAGGAAUUUUUGGUUUCGCGUUAAAAUCCAUGAAUUCGGAGAAACUUUAUAAGUAAAGGAUUUCAUAGAAUAGAUAAAUAGGGUAAAAUGAAUUUUUUAGUAUAAAGAGGUUCUCGAAUAUAUGUGAGGGAAGUGUUGAUUGUGAUUAGAAUAAAAGGUAGAGUUUCUACUUAGUGAGAUCAGUUAAAAGGGAAAAGAGAGAGACAAGAAAAGCUGAGAAUAAUGAUUUAGAAAAGAUGAAGAAGAAACUAAGAGAACACUUUCUUCCAUUUGGCUAUGCCCAAACCCUGUACUUAAGGUUUCACAUGUUAAAAUAAAUAGACAUUAGGUCAUGGUUUUGGUUUUGUUUUCGGGAUUUGUUGUUAUAGUUGUGGUGAGUUAAGGUAUCAAGCUAGCUAAUGAGAAUGCAUUAAAAAACUAGAAAGUUACAUAGGAAAAAAUAUGUUGAUAGAGGAACUUGCAAAUAACAUGGAUGAUCUUAUUUAAAAUAACUCUGACAACAAUGAAGAGACUUUAAAUGGGAAUAGUAGUACUAUACUAGUUGUCUGAAAAAUCAUUUUGUCACCCGAUGGUGAUUAAGGAUAGAAUUGGUUGUGUUCUAAAAUCUUCCAAAUAAUAUGUACUGUUAACAACAAGAUAUGCAAUCUAAUCAUCGUCGGUGGUAGUUAUGAGAAUAUAGAGUUAGUUGAAGUGUUAGAAAAAUUACAGCUUAACAUAGAAAAACUCUUCAUCCCUUACAAACUAAUGUCGCGCCCCCCCCCCCAAAAAAAAUAUUCAAAUACACAUCCAUUGCGGGUUCGACUGGCGAAAAUUUGUUUAUUUUUAUUUUUAUUUGAUUCUUUGGAGUCGCCACCUAGUAUUUUGGUCACUAGGAACCUAACUGGUCUCAGAGAUCGGGUACGGAGACUGGUUGCGUAAAGGGAAGGUAUUAGCACCCCAAAUACGCCUUACCUAAGGUAAGCUGCAUUGUUUUAAAUGUCUGAUAAAAAAAAAACUAAAGUGUUAUUGUGUUUUUCUAGUUGUUGGUCUGUCUAUGGUUCAAGAAAAAUCCCCCUCAGUAAGGAGGUCUUUAUCUUAUCGGGUAAAAAUCCUAACCGUUCUAACGUCCAUACCAAAAUUUUACUAAUAAUAUUUAGGAAUACGUUUUACGUAUAAAUUCGUAAUCCCAAAUAUUAAAAGAAAACAAAAAGAAUGUUUUAGAAUUUUUGAAAUAUUGGCCUAGUUCUCAUGGCUUGAAUAAAUUGGUUAUUAAAGCCAAAAUGCAUGUUAAUACAUAUAUUGUUUUUUUGAAAAAAAAAAAUAAUUUGUUGUAUGAAAAUAUGAUGUUAUAAUAUUUAUGUAUAUAUAUUGGAGAGACUAGGCCGUAUUUAAAAACAAAAACAAUUUUUGAAAAAUAUUAUUUUGUUAUGCUUUGACGAAAAUCAUAAUGGGUAUAUUUUAAAAAUACUGAGCUUGUAUCCUUACGGUAUAAAAAUACAACCCAAUAUUAAUCUAUUUUGAUAAAAUAUGCAGAAAAAUCAACAACAGUUUUUAGGAAAUUUUUAGAAAAUUUUUUGAAAAGCAAAACAUUUUUUAUUCUGAAAAUCUUUGAUGUUUUGACGAAAAAACCGGGUAUUUUAAUACUGGUUUUGUAUCUUUACAAAAAAAAAUACAAACCAGAAGUAAAACAUUUUUGAAAAAAUAUGCAGAAAAAAUCAACAAUAUUUUUUUUUAGAUUUUUUUUUUUUUGUUUUUUAUACAUUAAAUACAUUUUUUAUAUAUUAUAUUAUAUAUUUUAUAUAUUAAAAGGGCUGGGCCGGCCCAAACUAAACUGGGCCGGACCCAGCCCAACAGUCGUUGGGCCGAACUCGGCCCAACAGGUACUGGGCCGAACUCGGCCCAGGUACUGGGAACUCGGCCCAAAUAAUUAACCUCGGUCUGGGCCGGACCCGGCCCAGACCGCCGGACUGGGCCAGAUCUCUCUGGCCCGGUCCACAUAGUUCUGGGCCAGACAAAGUCUGGCCCAGAGGAAAUAAAAAACGCAGCGGGGGGGAUUAUUUCCCCCCCGUCCCCAAGAACGAUGCAGGAAGAAAAAAAAAAAAAAAAAUGUGCAGGGGGAGGGACGCGUACCUGGCACGGCGGAGACGGCGGCUUGCUGGCGGUGCUGCUGCGGAGACGGUGGCAGCUUGGCUUACGGACGGCGGGUCAGGCGGUUUUCUCUCUCUCUCCUCCCUUCGGGUCUCUCUCUCUCUUUUUCUUCUUCUCUCCUCUCGGCCUCUCUCUAUUUAUAAGCAAAAAGGAAACGGUUAGUGCGCCUUCAAUCACGCAACGGCUGGUCGGCCACUCUUGCUUUCGGUGGUGGUGGUGGGGCGAGGAGAGAGAGAGAGGCGGGAAGUUUUGAAAAAAAGAAAAAAUGGUUUCGUCUCUGUUUCCGCGGGGGGAAAGGAAGAAGACGAACAGUGUCGUUCAAAACGACACCGUUCUGUCUUCUUCUUUUUUUUUUUUUUUUUAUUAUAUAUAUAUAUGAAACGGCGUCGUUUUGGAUAAAACGCGCCGUUUCAUUUAAACGGGUCAAACUUCAAAACAGUCCUCCAAAUCGGUCCCUGCCCCUCUUGUUGGCCGCCUUUUUCAUUUUGGUCCUUGGCAUCUGAUUUAUGCAAUUUAGCCCUCAAUUGAUUAAUAAACUUUCAAUUUCUUCAAUUAGGCCCCUGAAACGAAAAAUUAGCAGCCCCUCCAUUUACGCGCCUCUUCCAAUUUGGUCCCUGGUUUCGGAUUUUCACAAUUAAGUCCCUAAUUGGCCCUUAAACUUCAAUUUUUAUGCAAUUGAGCCCUGAUUUGACCCAAUAAAUUCCUAAAAAAAUAUUUUGGCCCCAGAACUUAAAUUUCUCCAAAUUAAAGCCCAAAUUGACUUAAAAAUUAAUUUUUCUUGCAAUCAAAUCUUCUAUAAAUUCAAAUAAAAAUCCGAUUAAGUCCAUAAAAAUCCAAUUAAGCCCAUAAAAAUCCAAUUAAGCCCAUAAAAAUCCAAAUUUGGGCUUUUCUCCCUAAAAUUCCAAUUUUUCUUCUCAAUAGGGCUUUCAUCCUUCAAGAAUAUACUGUCAAAAAUUCAAUCCUUGUAUUUUUAAAGUCCUUGACCAAUUUUCUGACUGUUUUCCGGGCGCUUCUGCCUCCGGUUAUUUUUCUAACCUCUUUUGGCUAUUUAUUUUAUUUUUUAGGGGGACCCAAAAAUGGGUUACAACAACUAAAAUAGCUAAAUGAAAACAACAAGGUUGUCGCACGUCACCCUCGCGCGGCUUCCGAUGGCGAUUUUUCUCGUUAUGCGUUUUUGCUUGAUUCAGUUCUUUAGAGUCGUCACCUAGUAUUUUGGUCACUAGGAACCCUAACUGGUCUUUCAGAGAUUCUAAGGCAAGGAACUGGUUGCGUAAAGAGAAGGUAUUAGCAUCCCUAAUACGCUCUACCUAAGGUAAGCUGCAUGGUGUUUGGUUUAUCUUAUAAUUGCUAUGGUGUUGGUGUUUUCUAAUCCCAUCAGUUUUUCUAUGAUAGGUUUCCUAUGAUGAACAAACUUGGACUCAAAGUCUAAAAAAAAAAAGAACCCUUGGUCAAUGUGGAUCACACCUUUAGAUAUGUCUACAAAGUACCAAGGAGAACCAAUGCAGAUCUCUUGAAAUCUGUGUUUGAUUCAAGUUAAAUUUAUUAAGAUAGAAAUCCAAGGAGAUUUCAUGUGCUGUAAAAGCUCAUCUUUCCCUUAGUAUUUCAAGAGUUUGCGACUCGUAAAUCGCAAGAAUGAAGGACAAAUAUUUAGAAAUCUAAGGAAAUUCAAAGCGCUUUAAAAGCCUCCUUUUGCCUUAGUAUUUCAUACUUUCACGGCUCGUAAACCGUGGAGUCAAAAUUUAAAAUUUUGAAAUGUCCUCAAUUAUAAUCAAGGCUUCUCUCAAAGAUGUAUGCGGAUUUAUUACUCCCAAUAAUAUUUUGGAUAUUCAUCAUUUAAAGAUUUCUUUAUCCAAAUAUUAGCGGUGAAUAAUAAAUGAAUUCCCUCCAAAAUAAGAUUUUUAUAGUUUUUGGAAUAUUGGCCAAUACCCUUUGGAGUUUUACAAACAUGUUGUAAAAUCCAGAAAUACAAGAAAACAAAUUUUUUGAUGUUUAAGAAAUCCAUGCAAAAACACAUUCUUAAAACUUCCAAUAUUUUUUGUAUAUAAAAAAAUAUUCAAAACAUGUUAGGAUAUUGGCCGUAUGCAACAAAAAAAAAAACAUUUUUUAUAUUUUCUUUGCAAAAUACACAUAGUUAAUCGCAAUUAAAAUCCAAAAACCACAUAUUAAUCAAAUUCUUAAGGCUUUAAUAAAUCAACUAUUAAAUCCCAGAAUAUAUAUAGAAACAUGUUUUUAUAUUUUCCCGAGAAAUACAACAUAAUUUUAUUUGUCCUUCAGAUACCAUAUGUCAAAUUAGAAACUUAAUUCAUUUUUUUGUCUUUUAUUGAUUUUUAUCAUUCAAAUAACAUAAAUAAAAAUACAAACACACACACAUUUUUUAUUAUUAUUUUUCUUAUACAUAUUUUACGUGUAAAACAAAUAACAAAAUUUCAAAAAAAUCAAAUACAAUUUAAUUAUUACCAAAUAAACCCCAAAAACUCCAGGAAUUGGUGGGAACAUCUUCUAGGAUCCGCCGGAAUAGUGACGGAAGGUUUCUGGGCUCGGGAACAGUGGCGCACGUUUCUCCACUAGCGGAUCCCAGAAAAAUAAUGUUAACAUAUAAGCUACUGAAAUUAUAAGUUAUAUAGAUGAUUGAAAAUUGAUCUUAUAUAAUUUGCUACUGAAAUUACAUUGAUUCAAGUAUCCAUGUUAACAUAUAAGCUUGAAUAAUACACAAAAACAGGAACUACAGAAGCGUUCUACCCGAGACAAACUCGGUGAAGGCCAGCGCAACCAAACCCAACAUCGCAAAUCUACCGUUCCACAUCUCAGCAUCAGAUGUCAUGACGCCCUCUGACUUGGAUUCCACGCUGACCCCUUUGAAUAGUGGGAUCAAAGACGCGACAGAGAGAAGAAUACUUGUUCCGACGAACCACGAGACUCCACCGUUAGAUAUCUGAGAGAAAAGGUCUUGGCCCUUGGACAGUUCCACUGCCAUUGCAGCGACAAAGCCUAUCAUGGCAAGCCUGCCAUUGAUCCUCUCUGGUGCGGGUCCGCUAAAUGCCAACACAUCAGCGAAUUUUGUGCUGACCUGUUAAUCAUCAUCACGCGUGCGUUUACAUUAGAAGUGUAAGCAUAAAUGCAAUCAAAAAGUCCUUGCUCUAAUUAAAUUGUUAAAAUUAAACAUUUCCGAAAUAACUCAUGACAUAUAAUUAGUCCUGUACCUUUGGCUUAGGAGGAGGACUUGGCUCUGCUGGCAUCUUCUGG